GUUGUUUAUUGCUUUCAGGAGCUGCAGCCUUUAGUCUCUGUCUCCACCAUCUGAAUUUCUUGAACAGAAAUUGAGCCAAUAUACUCAUGAUGAAUAUCAAUUGUAUCAGUGCAAAAGUGCCCAUCCAGAAGCAAGAACGAAGGAAGCAGGAGGGAAGAGAAAUUGAAGGUGGGUAAACUGGAAAAGCCACAGCUGCCACGCCGCAGUAGUGUGUAACUGACGCGAGGAGUUGGAGGAGGCGAGGAGCGGAGCGGAUUCAGACGACGUCUGCACUCUGCAUGCAGUGAAGUUGCGGGUCGGGAUCGAUCGAGGGAAGGCGUAAUUACCUGAUGGGUCAUCGAGGAAGCCUCCCUGGAUCAGCAGCUGUUGCACCCUCUUGGGAAGAAUCCCCGCGAGAGCUGCAGGCGAGUAGUGCAGCUGGCUCAUCACUCUCUCCAUCGUUUCGCCAAUGAGAGAGAGAGAGAGUGAGGGAAUUGGAGAGAGAGAGAGAGAGGUGGUGGUGGUGAACUGGUGGCGAUGAUAUAGUGGAGAGGCGGAGACUGGAGGCGCAUGACAAGGACGGAGACACCCCUGAUAGUUGCGCUUUUGGCGUCUCAUGAACUCUUGGUGCGGUGCGGUGCCCGCAGAUCCCGAAUAUGCAGCAGUUUCCACCGGAUGCGCCCGGCACCCGUCCGUGGGGGAAAAAAACACCGCUAUAGGCCUAUACCAGCUGUUACAAUUUUUUAUAUGUGCUUGGCAUUAGUAUUUCCUAUUUUCCAGCAAGCUACUACUUUUUAUUGCGCAUUUAUGUACGCUCAGUAGUUGUGCAAUAAUUGUUUGGCUAAUUUUACCAGUGUAAUAUUGACCGUGUUUAUUACUACUAUUUGCGUAGUAGUUUGUAUUUUAUCA